rnacentral:rRNA from 1 species
AUGUUCUCAAUUUCAGGGGAUCAAUCAAGGGUCAUCGAGUGCAGUCAACCGCAACAGAGCGCGCACCCAUUUGACGUUGAUGGACGACUACUUUACCCAGAUGCCCUCUUCGCUGACAAUUUUUGCCGGCGCUUCAGGGUGCACAAAGAUGUGUUUGAUAGUCCCUACCAUGAUGUCCAGUCCUUUGACACCGUGGGAAGGAUUGGGUUCUCUGCUUACCAAAAGUGCACGGCCACAUUGCGGAUGCUUGCAUAUGGCAUGACCGCUGAUUCGUGGGAUGAGUACCUACGGAUGUCUGAGAACACAUGCAGAGAUGCCAUGGUCUUGUUUGCAACUGCCGAGGUCUAG